rnacentral:rRNA from 1 species
GACGAACGCUGGCGGCGUGCUUAACACAUGCAAGUCGAACGGAAAGGCCCUGCUUUUGUGGGGUGCUCGAGUGGCGAACGGGUGAGUAACACGUGAGUAACCUGCCCUUGACUUUGGGAUAACUUCAGGAAACUGGGGCUAAUACCGGAUAGGAGCUCCUGCUGCAUGGUGGGGGUUGGAAAGUUUCGGCGGUUGGGGAUGGACUCGCGGCUUAUCAGCUUGUUGGUGGGGUAGUGGCUUACCAAGGCUUUGACGGGUAGCCGGCCUGAGAGGGUGACCGGCCACAUUGGGACUGAGAUGCGGCCCAGACUCCUACGGGAGGCAGCGGUGGGGAAUAUUGCAAAAUGGGCGGAAGCCUGAUGCAGCAACGCCGCGUGCGGGAGGACGGCCUUCGGGGUGUAAACCGCUUUCGCCUGUGACGAAGCGUGAGUGACGGUAAUGGGUAAAGAAGCACCGGCUAACUACGUG